rnacentral:rRNA from 1 species
UACGGGGGGAGCAAGCGUUGUUCGGAUUUACUGGGCGUAAAGGGCGCGUAGGCGGUCAGCACAAGUCAGUUGUGAAAGCCCCGAGCUUAACUUGGGAAUUGCGCUUGUGACUGGCGUGCUGGAGUGUGGCAGAGGGAGGUGGAAUUCCACGUGUAGCAGUGAAAUGCGUAGAGAUGUGGAGGAACACCGAUGGCGAAGGCAGCCUCCUGGGCCAGCACUGACGCUCAUGCACGAAAGCGUGGGGAGCAAACAGG